rnacentral:rRNA from 1 species
UUGUAUCAGAAUGAAGAGUAGCGAACGGGUGAGUAACGCGUGGGUAACCUACCUCUUAGCGGGGGACAACUAUUGGAAACGAUAGCUAAUACCGCAUAACAAUAUUAAACACAUGUUUAACAUUUGAAAGUACCAAUUGGUACACUAGGAGAUGGACCCGCGUUGUAUUAGCUAGUUGGUAGUGUAAUGGACUACCAAGGCGAUGAUACAUAGCCGACCUGAGAGGGUGAUCGGCCACAUUGGGACUGAGACACGGCCCAAACUCCUACGGGAGGCAGCAGUAGGGAAUCUUCGGCAAUGGACGAAAGUCUGACCGAGCAACGCCGCGUGAGUGAAGAAGGUUUUCGGAUCGUAAAACUCUGUUGUUAGAGAAGAACGUUGUGUAGAGUGGAAAAUUACACAAGUGACGGUAUCUAACCAGAAAGGGACGGCUAACAACGUGCCAGCAGCCGCGGUAAUACGUAGGUCCCGAGCGUUGUCCGGAUUUAUUGGGCGUAAAGCGAGCGCAGGUGGUUUAAUAAGUCUGAUGUAAAAGGCAGUGGCUCAACCAUUGUGUGCAUUGGAAACUGUUAGACUUGAGUGCAGUAGAGGAGAGUGGAAUUCCAUGUGUAGCGGUGAAAUGCGUAGAUAUAUGGAGGAACACCGGUGGCGAAAGCGGCUCUCUGGACUGUAACUGACACUGAGGCUCGAAAGCGUGGGUAGCAAACAGGAUUAGAUACCCUGGUAGUCCACGCCGUAACGAUGAGUGCUAGUUGUUUGGGGCUAUCCAGC